GAUGAACGCUAGCUACAGGCUUAACACAUGCAAGUCGAGGGGAAACGAUAUUGGAAGCUUGCUUCCGAUAGGCGUCGACCGGCGCACGGGUGAGUAACGCGUAUCCAACCUGCCCAUCACUUGGGGAUAACCUUGCGAAAGUAAGACUAAUACCCAAUGACGUCUCUAGAAGACAUCUGAAAGAGAUUAAAGAUUUAUCGGUGAUGGAUGGGGAUGCGUCUGAUUAGCUUGUUGGCGGGGUAACGGCCCACCAAGGCGACGAUCAGUAGGGGUUCCGAGAGGAAGGUCCCCCACAUUGGAACUGAGACACGGUCCAAACUCCUACGGGAGGCAGCAGUGAGGAAUAUUGGUCAAUGGACGAGAGUCUGAACCAGCCAAGUAGCGUGCAGGAUGACGGCCCUAUGGGUUGUAAACUGCUUUUAUAAGGGAAUAAAGUGGGAGUCGUGACUCUUUUUGCAUGUACCUUAUGAAUAAGGACCGGCUAAUUCCGUGCCAGCAGCCG
rnacentral:rRNA from 1 species